rnacentral:misc_RNA from 1 species
GAUGAAGAACGUAGCGAAAUGCGAUAAGUAAUGUGAAUUGCAGAAUUCAGUGAAUCAUCGAAUCUUUGAACGCAUCUUGCGCUCCUUGGUAUUCUGAGGAGCAUGCCUGUUUGAGUGUCAUUAAAUUCUCAACUACACUGACUUUGAAUUGGUGUGGCUUGGAUUUGGGGGGAAAAUUGUUGUGGGCUUUUUGUAUAGUCUGCUCCCCUGAAAUUGAUUAGCGGUACCUUUGUGGAACUGUCUACAGGUGUGAUAAUUAUCUACAUCUUAGACAUCUGCUGGAAUGCUGCUUUCUAAACCUUACUUGUAUUGACAAUCUUGACCUCAAAUCAGGUAGGACUACCCGCUGAACUUAAGCAUAUCAUAGCGGAGGA